GACGAACGCUGGCGGCGUGCCUAACACAUGCAAGUCGAACGAGACCUUCGGGCCUUGUGGCGCUGGGGUACUUGCGAACUGGUAAGUAACCCGUAGGUAACCUAUCACUUACCGGGGGAUAACUUAAUGAAACAUAAUGUAAUAGCGCCUAAGAUUUAUUGCUUCGGGAUGGGGCCGCGAAAGAUUCGCUAGUUGGUAGGGUAAACGCCUACCAAGGGGAUGAUCCAGAGCUGGUCGGAGAGGAUGACCAACUCCACUGGGCCUGAGACACGGCCCAGACCGCUAGGGAAGGCAGCAGGAGAGAAUAUUCGACGAGGGGCGAAAGCCUAAGCCAGCAGUGCCGCGGGAGUGAGGAAUGCGUUAGGAUUGUAAAUCUGUUUGACACGGGAUGAUAGUGACGGUACCGGGAAAAUAAGCUCCGGCUAACUCCGUG
rnacentral:rRNA from 1 species